rnacentral:rRNA from 1 species
UACGUAGGGUGCAAGCGUUGUCCGGAAUUAUUGGGCGUAAAGAGCUCGUAGGCGGUUUGUUGCGUCGGCUGUGAAAUCCCGAGGCUCAACCUCGGGUCUGCAGUCGAUACGAGCAAACUAGAGUGUUGCAGGGGAGACUGGAAUUCCUGGUGUAGCGGUGAAAUGCGCAGAUAUCAGGAGGAACACCGGUGGCGAAGGCGGAUCUCUGGGCCAGCACUGACACUGAGGAGCGAAAGCGUGGGUAGCAAACAGG